rnacentral:misc_RNA from 1 species
GAUGAAGAACGCAGCGAAAUGCGAUAAGUAAUGUGAAUUGCAGAAUUCAGUGAAUCAUCGAAUCUUUGAACGCACCUUGCGCCCUUUGGCUAUUCCGAAGGGCAUGCCUGUUUGAGUAUCAUGAACACCUCAACUCUCAUGGUUUGCCAUGAUGAGCUUGGACUCUGGGGGUCUUGCUGGCCUAUGGUCAGCUCCUCUCAAAUAAAUCAGCUUGCCAGUGUUUGGUGGCAUCACAGGUGUGAUAACUAUCUACGCUUGUGGUUUUCCAUCAGGUAACCUUCAGUGAUGGAGGUUCGCUGGAGCUCAUAAAUGUCCCUCCUCAGCGAGGACAGCUUUUUGAACGUUUGAUCUCAAAUCAGGUAGGACUACCCGCUGAACUUAAGCAUAUCAAUAGGCGGAGGA